rnacentral:lncRNA from 1 species
GAAAAACGCUGGGGUUUGGAGCAGGUAUUUGAAAGAGCAAGAACAGUUCUGGCAAACAGCAGUUUGGUGCAUCGGCAAAGUAGAGUUGCCAAGGAUAAGCCACUGGAUUUUCAACAUGACUUUUCCCUGUUCUUUGACAGCAAUAAGGAACCUUUCAAAAAUUAACCUGAGAGCGGAUGGAAAAAGGCUAGUUUGUCACCUUUCCCUGUGAAUGGGACACUGUCAGCAUCCCCACAGAGCCAGCUGAGCACCCAGCACUCUUGCACUCUAUGUGAUGCCAGGCUCUGACCUUGGCAAAGGUAAGGAAACCUCCCUGGCCUCCACAGUUACACCGCUUCUGACUCUCC